rnacentral:rRNA from 1 species
GGGUUGUGAGGUUAAGCGACUAAGCGUACACGGUGGAUGCCCUGGCAGUCAGAGGCGAUGAAGGACGUGCUAAUCUGCGAUAAGCGUCGGUAAGGUGAUAUGAACCGUUAUAACCGGCGAUUUCCGAAUGGGGAAACCCAGUGUGAUUCGUCACACUAUCAUUAACUGAAUCCAUAGGUUAAUGAGGCGAACCGGGGGAACUGAAACAUCUAAGUACCCCGAGGAAAAGAAAUCAACCGAGAUUCCCCCAGUAGCGGCGAGCGAACGGGGAGGAGCCCAGAGCCUGAAUCAGUGUGUGUGUUAGUGGAAGCGUCUGGAAAGGCGCGCGAUACAGGGUGACAGCCCCGUACACAAAAAUGCACAUGCUGUGAGCUCGAUGAGUAGGGCGGGACACGUGGUAUCCUGUCUGAAUAUGGGGGGACCAUCCUCCAAGGCUAAAUACUCCUGACUGACCGAUAGUGAACCAGUACCGUGAGGGAAAGGCGAAAAGAACCCCGGCGAGGGGAGUGAAAAAGAACCUGAAACCGUGUACGUACAAGCAGUGGGAGCACGCUUAGGCGUGUGACUGCGUACCUUUUGUAUAAUGGGUCAGCGACUUAUAUUCUGUAGCAAGGUUAACCGAAUAGGGGAGCCGAAGGGAAACCGAGUCUUAACUGGGCGUUAAGUUGCAGGGUAUAGACCCGAAACCCGGUGAUCUAGCCAUGGGCAGGUUGAAGGUUGGGUAACACUAACUGGAGGACCGAACCGACUAAUGUUGAAAAAUUAGCGGAUGACUUGUGGCUGGGGGUGAAAGGCCAAUCAAACCGGGAGAUAGCUGGUUCUCCCCGAAAGCUAUUUAGGUAGCGCCUCGUGAAUUCAUCUCCGGGGGUAGAGCACUGUUUCGGCAAGGGGGUCAUCCCGACUUACCAACCCGAUGCAAACUGCGAAUACCGGAGAAUGUUAUCACGGGAGACACACGGCGGGUGCUAACGUCCGUCGUGAAGAGGGAAACAACCCAGACCGCCAGCUAAGGUCCCAAAGUCAUGGUUAAGUGGGAAACGAUGUGGGAAGGCCCAGACAGCCAGGAUGUUGGCUUAGAAGCAGCCAUCAUUUAAAGAAAGCGUAAUAGCUCACUGGUCGAGUCGGCCUGCGCGGAAGAUGUAACGGGGCUAAACCAUGCACCGAAGCUGCGGCAGCGACGCUUAUGCGUUGUUGGGUAGGGGAGCGUUCUGUAAGCCUGUGAAGGUGUGCUGUGAGGCAUGCUGGAGGUAUCAGAAGUGCGAAUGCUGACAUAAGUAACGAUAAAGCGGGUGAAAAGCCCGCUCGCCGGAAGACCAAGGGUUCCUGUCCAACGUUAAUCGGGGCAGGGUGAGUCGACCCCUAAGGCGAGGCCGAAAGGCGUAGUCGAUGGGAAACAGGUUAAUAUUCCUGUACUUGGUGUUACUGCGAAGGGGGGACGGAGAAGGCUAUGUUGGCCGGGCGACGGUUGUCCCGGUUUAAGCGUGUAGGCUGGUUUUCCAGGCAAAUCCGGAAAAUCAAGGCUGAGGCGUGAUGACGAGGCACUACGGUGCUGAAGCAACAAAUGCCCUGCUUCCAGGAAAAGCCUCUAAGCAUCAGGUAACAUCAAAUCGUACCCCAAACCGACACAGGUGGUCAGGUAGAGAAUACCAAGGCGCUUGAGAGAACUCGGGUGAAGGAACUAGGCAAAAUGGUGCCGUAACUUCGGGAGAAGGCACGCUGAUAUGUAGGUGAAGUCCCUCGCGGAUGGAGCUGAAAUCAGUCGAAGAUACCAGCUGGCUGCAACUGUUUAUUAAAAACACAGCACUGUGCAAACACGAAAGUGGACGUAUACGGUGUGACGCCUGCCCGGUGCCGGAAGGUUAAUUGAUGGGGUUAGCGCAAGCGAAGCUCUUGAUCGAAGCCCCGGUAAACGGCGGCCGUAACUAUAACGGUCCUAAGGUAGCGAAAUUCCUUGUCGGGUAAGUUCCGACCUGCACGAAUGGCGUAAUGAUGGCCAGGCUGUCUCCACCCGAGACUCAGUGAAAUUGAACUCGCUGUGAAGAUGCAGUGUACCCGCGGCAAGACGGAAAGACCCCGUGAACCUUUACUAUAGCUUGACACUGAACAUUGAGCCUUGAUGUGUAGGAUAGGUGGGAGGCUUUGAAGUGUGGACGCCAGUCUGCAUGGAGCCGACCUUGAAAUACCACCCUUUAAUGUUUGAUGUUCUAACGUUGACCCGUAAUCCGGGUUGCGGACAGUGUCUGGUGGGUAGUUUGACUGGGGCGGUCUCCUCCUAAAGAGUAACGGAGGAGCACGAAGGUUGGCUAAUCCUGGUCGGACAUCAGGAGGUUAGUGCAAUGGCAUAAGCCAGCUUGACUGCGAGCGUGACGGCGCGAGCAGGUGCGAAAGCAGGUCAUAGUGAUCCGGUGGUUCUGAAUGGAAGGGCCAUCGCUCAACGGAUAAAAGGUACUCCGGGGAUAACAGGCUGAUACCGCCCAAGAGUUCAUAUCGACGGCGGUGUUUGGCACCUCGAUGUCGGCUCAUCACAUCCUGGGGCUGAAGUAGGUCCCAAGGGUAUGGCUGUUCGCCAUUUAAAGUGGUACGCGAGCUGGGUUUAGAACGUCGUGAGACAGUUCGGUCCCUAUCUGCCGUGGGCGCUGGAGAACUGAGGGGGGCUGCUCCUAGUACGAGAGGACCGGAGUGGACGCAUCACUGGUGUUCGGGUUGUCAUGCCAAUGGCACUGCCCGGUAGCUAAAUGCGGAAGAGAUAAGUGCUGAAAGCAUCUAAGCACGAAACUUGCCCCGAGAUGAGUUCUCCCUGACUCCUUGAGAGUCCUGAAGGAACGUUGAAGACGACGACGUUGAUAGGCCGGGUGUGUAAGCGCAGCGAUGCGUUGAGCUAACCGGUACUAAUGAACCGUGAGGCUUAACCUUACAACGCCGAAGGUGUUU